rnacentral:lncRNA from 1 species
GAGAUGAGGGGGCCAAAUUCAGACAACAAACGGAUCCGUUAACCUCAUCAGAAUUGGAAAAAAGAAUAGGAUUCUCCCUUCCUCAAGGAGAGGAUAACUUGCCUAAUUAAACUGCUAGUAGUAGACCAGCAGCAGUAGUAGUAGCAUUUGACAAAUCGAGUGAGGCGUCGAUCGCUCGCUUGCAUGGUCAACAAUUCCAGCGCAAGGCGAUGGCGUGAUGCCUUCGGUAGGCGUUGACCAUGC